GACGAACGCUGGCGGCGUGCUUAACACAUGCAAGUCGAACGGACCCUUUGGGGUUAGUGGCGAACGGGUGAGUAACACGUGGGUGAUCUGCCCUGCACUUUGGGAUAAGCCUGGGAAACUGGGUCUAAUACCGGAUAGGACUACGCACUGCAUGGUGUGUGGUGGAAAGCUUUUGCGGUGUGGGAUGGGCCCGCGGCCUAUCAGCUUGUUGGUGGGGUGAUGGCCUACCAAGGCGACGACGGGUAGCCGGCCUGAGAGGGUGACCGGCCACACUGGGACUGAGAUACGGCCCAGACUCCUACGGGAGGCAGCAGUGGGGAAUAUUGCACAAUGGGCGCAAGCCUGAUGCAGCGACGCCGCGUGAGGGAUGACGGCCUUCGGGUUGUAAACCUCUUUCGCCAGGGACGAAGCGCAAGUGACGGUACCUGGAGAAGAAGGACCGGCCAACUACGUGCCAGCAGCCGCGGUAAUACGUAGGGUCCGAGCGUUGUCCGGAAUUACUGGGCGUAAAGAGCUCGUAGGUGGUUUGUCGCGUUGUUCGUGAAAACUCACAGCUUAACUGUGGGCGUGCGGGCGAUACGGGCAGACUGGAGUACUGCAGGGGAGACUGGAAUUCCUGGUGUAGCGGUGGAAUGCGUAGAUAUCAGGAGGAACACCGGUGGCGAAGGCGGGUCUCUGGGCAGUAACUGACGCUGAGGAGCGAAAGCGUGGGGAGCGAACAGGAUUAGAUACCCUGGUAGUCCACGCCGUAAACGGUGGGUACUAGGUGUGGGUUUCCUUCCUUGGGAUCCGUGCCGUAGCUAACGCAUUAAGUACCCCGCCUGGGGAGUACGGCCGCAAGGCUAAAACUCAAAGGAAUUGACGGGGGCCCGCACAAGCGGCGGAGCAUGUGGAUUAAUUCGAUGCAACGCGAAGAACCUUACCUGGGUUUGACAUGCACAGGACGCCGGCAGAGAUGUCGGUUCCCUUGUGGCCUGUGUGCAGGUGGUGCAUGGCUGUCGUCAGCUCGUGUCGUGAGAUGUUGGGUUAAGUCCCGCAACGAGCGCAACCCUUGUCUCAUGUUGCCAGCACGUUAUGGUGGGGACUCGUGAGAGACUGCCGGGGUCAACUCGGAGGAAGGUGGGGAUGACGUCAAGUCAUCAUGCCCCUUAUGUCCAGGGCUUCACACAUGCUACAAUGGCCGGUACAAAGGGCUGCGAUGCCGUGAGGUGGAGCGAAUCCUUUCAAAGCCGGUCUCAGUUCGGAUCGGGGUCUGCAACUCGACCCCGUGAAGUCGGAGUCGCUAGUAAUCGCAGAUCAGCAACGCUGCGGUGAAUACGUUCCCGGGCCU
rnacentral:rRNA from 1 species